GAAAAAUUAGUAUUUGUGGAUCUUGAGAGCUGUAGAAGCCUUGUGGAAAAGUUUAUUUAUUUGACUGUAACUAAGAUAUUACUUGCUGUUGGGAAUAUUAGUUGGUUUAUGCAAACUGCAAGGCAAUAACAUCUGGAUGUUGUUUCUUAUGAUAUGGGGUGGCAGAUAGUUUACAACUUUUGGAAGUCCUGAACUUAACCAUACAAGGCUAAAAUGCUUGUGCGUCAGUUGUGAAAACUCAUUUUGAAAAUCAAUGGCGGAUCCAGAAAAUUCUCAAAGUGGGGUCCAUAUAAUAUAUAUUAAAGUCAUAAUAAUAUUAAAAACAGAUAAUAUAAUAGUUUAAAGUGGUGCAGUUCGUUCUGCCUUUCCUCCCAAAAAAACUAAUAAAUAAAUAUUAAUAUAUGAUACUUUAUAUGAUUUAAAAAAAAAAAA
rnacentral:misc_RNA from 1 species